rnacentral:rRNA from 1 species
UGGGGAAUAUUGCACAAUGGGCGCAAGCCUGAUGCAGCCAUGCCGCGUGUAUGAAGAAGGCCUUCGGGUUGUAAAGUACUUUCAGCGGGGAGGAAGGGAGUAAAGUUAAUACCUUUGCUCAUUGACGUUACCCGCAGAAGUAGCACCGGCUAACUCCGUGCCAGCAGCCGCGGUAAUACGGAGGGUGCAAGCGUUAAUCGGAAUUACUGGGCGUAAAGCGCACGCAGGCGGUCUGUCAAGUCGGAUGUGAAAUCCCCGGGCUCAACCUGGGAACUGCAUUCGAAACUGGCAGGCUAGAGUCUUGUAGAGGGGGGUAGAAUUCCAGGUGUAGCGGUGAAAUGCGUAGAGAUCUGGAGGAAUACCGGUGGCGAAGGCGGCCCCCUGGACAAAGACUGACGCUCAGGUGCGAAAGCGUGGGGAGCAAACAGG